UUUUGUUUGGAGAGUUUGAUCCUGGCUCAGGACGAACGCUGGCGGCGUGCUUAACACAUGCAAGUCGAACGGUGAAGGGACUGGUUUUGCUGGUUCUGGAUGAGUGGCGAACGGGUGAGUAACACGUGAGUAACCUGCCCCCUUCUUCUGGAUAACCGCAUGAAAGUGUGGCUAAUACGGGAUAUUCUGGGUCUGUCGCAUGGUGGGCCUGGGAAAGAUUGCGCCUUUUUUGGUGUUUUUGGUGGGGGAUGGGCUCGCGGCCUAUCAGCUUGUUGGUGGGGUGAUGGCCUACCAAGGCGGUGACGGGUAGCCGGCCUGAGAGGGUGGACGGUCACACUGGGACUGAGACACGGCCCAGACUCCUACGGGAGGCAGCAGUGGGGAAUAUUGCACAAUGGGCGCAAGCCUGAUGCAGCGACGCCGCGUGAGGGAUGGAGGCCUUCGGGUUGUGAACCUCUUUCGCCAGUGAAGCAGGCCUGCCUCGUUUGUGGGUGGGUUGACGGUAGCUGGAUAAGAAGCGCCGGCUAACUACGUGCCAGCAGCCGCGGUAAUACGUAGGGCGCGAGCGUUGUCCGGAAUUAUUGGGCGUAAAGAGCUCGUAGGCGGCUGGUCGCGUCUGUCGUGAAAUCCUCUGGCUUAACUGGGGGCUUGCGGUGGGUACGGGCCGGCUUGAGUGCGGUAGGGGAGGCUGGAACUCCUGGUGUAGCGGUGGAAUGCGCAGAUAUCAGGAAGAACACCGGUGGCGAAGGCGGGUCUCUGGGCCGUUACUGACGCUGAGGAGCGAAAGCGUGGGGAGCGAACAGGAUUAGAUACCCUGGUAGUCCACGCCGUAAACGUUGGGCACUAGGUGUGGGGGGCCUUUUCCGGGUCUUCCGCGCCGUAGCUAACGCAUUAAGUGCCCCGCCUGGGGAGUACGGCCGCAAGGCUAAAACUCAAAGGAAUUGACGGGGGCCCGCACAAGCGGCGGAGCAUGCGGAUUAAUUCGAUGCAACGCGAAGAACCUUACCAAGGCUUGACAUGUGCCGGUCUGCUCCGGAGACGGGGUUUCCUCCCUUGUGGGGGCUGGUUCACAGGUGGUGCAUGGUUGUCGUCAGCUCGUGUCGUGAGAUGUUGGGUUAAGUCCCGCAACGAGCGCAACCCUUGUCUCGUGUUGCCAGCACGUUGUGGUGGGGACUCGCGGGAGACUGCCGGGGUCAACUCGGAGGAAGGUGGGGAUGACGUCAAAUCAUCAUGCCCCUUAUGUCUUGGGCUUCACGCAUGCUACAAUGGCCGGUACAGAGGGCUGCGAUACCGUGAGGUGGAGCGAAUCCCUUAAAGCCGGUCUCAGUUCGGAUCGGUGUCUGCAACUCGACACCGUGAAGUUGGAGUCGCUAGUAAUCGCAGAUCAGCAACGCUGCGGUGAAUACGUUCUCGGGCCUUGUACACACCGCCCGUCACGUCAUGAAAGUCGGCAACACCCGAAGCCCGUGGCCCUACGGGGAGCGGUCGAAGGUGGGGCUGGUGAUUGGGACGAAGUCGUAACAAGGUAGCCGUACCGGAAGGUGCGGCUGGAUCACCUCCUUUCUAGGGA
rnacentral:rRNA from 1 species